AAUAUCUGAAAACAACAAUACAUUCCGGAGAAAGCGAAGAGAUGGGAUGAAAGCGCACUGUACAUGUCGUGAUAUUAUUGCUAACCUUUUUUGUGAAUUAUCGAUAACUCAAACAACCAGUCAAUAUAUGGCAUUUCUGCAAGUUUUACCACCUUCAAAACAUGACGAAAGGUAUGAUGGAUGAAAGUAUGAGAUACGACACUGCAACACCUCCGGAGGAAUUCGAGACACAUACUUUAGAUGUUCCAGAAGAAGCAAAGUUAUCUUUUUAUGAAGAAACUAUAGUGAAAACAGAGAUCAUCAUUUCACCGGAUGAUAUAUUACCAACAGUUACGUGCCGGUUAUGUCGUAGUGCAGACCAACUGUGUUCGCCCAUAUUCAAUCUACGUGUUGGUACAGAGCUCACGGAAAAGUAUUUAGAAACCAUUUACAGAAUGUCGGACAUCAUCAUUACUUAUGAGAAGGAUCACGCAUCCGUUGUGUGUACACACUGUUGGAUAAAAAUAGAAGAAUAUACGUUAAUUCGUGAAGAAUGGAAAGAGAAAAACAAAGCAGAACACGAUAGCAACGUUCCUGCGAUACAGCCAGCAGCACACAUUAUUUGUACGGAAAAAAUUACAUUGGAAAAUGCUAGCACACAAACCUCCGAUUAUACGAUUGUUCACAAGGCUCCGGAUGUAAGAGAUGCAUCCACCUGUACAGACAAUGUUGAACCAGCAGCUCCAAGUACGGAACACAAUAUUUGCGCAACAGACGAUGGAGAUAAGAAGAAUGGUAUAGAGGGCGAAUCGAUCGAUGUAGAGCAAUAUUACAAUCGUAUGAAACGAAAACGAAAAUGUAAGAAACGUCAAAGGAAGGAGGAACUCAUAGACGAAGUGAUGCAAUUAGUUAAAAGACAAUUUCGAUCGGAACCCAACGAAUCAAUUAGUUAAACUGUUAACUGUAAUCUUAUUUAUUUUUUUUUUUU